GAUGAACGCUGGCAGAAUGCUUAACACAUGCAAGUCCACUUGAACUUCGGUUUGGGUGGCGGACGGGUGAGUAACGCGUAAAGAACUUGCCUCACAGCUAGGGACAACAUUUGGAAACGAAUGCUAAUACCUGAUAUUAUGAUUAUAUGGCAUCGUAUAAUUAUGACAGCUACAUGCGCUGUGAGAGAGCUUUGCGUCCCAUUAGCUAGUUGGAGAGGUAACAGCUCACCAAGGCGAUGAUGGGUAGCCGGCCUGAGAGGGUGAUCGGCCACAAGGGGACGGAGACACGGCCCGUACUCCUACGGGAGGCAAGAGUGGGGAAUAUUGGACAAUGGACCGAGAGUCUGAUCAAGCAAUUCUGUGUGCACGAUGAAGUUUUUCGGAAUGUAAAGUGCUUUCAGUUGGGAAGAAAAAAAUGACGGUACCAACAGAAGAAGUGACGGCUAAAUACGUG
rnacentral:rRNA from 1 species